rnacentral:rRNA from 1 species
UUCGCUGACGAGUGGCGGACGGGUGAGUAAUGUCUGGGAAACUGCCUGAUGGAGGGGGAUAACUACUGGAAACGGUAGCUAAUACCGCAUAACGUCGCAAGACCAAAGAGGGGGACCUUCGGGCCUCUUGCCAUCGGAUGUGCCCAGAUGGGAUUAGCUUGUUGGUGGGGUAACGGCUCACCAAGGCGACGAUCCCUAGCUGGUCUGAGAGGAUGACCAGCCACACUGGAACUGAGACACGGUCCAGACUCCUACGGGAGGCAGCAGUGGGGAAUAUUGCACAAUGGGCGCAAGCCUGAUGCAGCCAUGCCGCGUGUAUGAAGAAGGCCUUCGGGUUGUAAAGUACUUUCAGCGGGGAGGAAGGGAGUAAAGUUAAUACCUUUGCUCAUUGACGUUACCCGCAGAAGAAGCACCGGCUAACUCCGUGCCAGCAGCCGCGGUAAUACGGAGGGUGCAAGCGUUAAUCGGAAUUACUGGGCGUAAAGCGCACGCAGGCGGUUUGUUAAGUCAGAUGUGAAAUCCCCGGGCUCAACCUGGGAACUGCAUCUGAUACUGGCAAGCUUGAGUCUCGUAGAGGGGGGUAGAAUUCCAGGUGUAGCGGUGAAAUGCGUAGAGAUCUGGAGGAAUACCGGUGGCGAAGGCGGCCCCCUGGACGAAGACUGACGCUCAGGUGCGAAAGCGUGGGGAGCAAACAGGAUUAGAUACCCUGGUAGUCCACGCCGUAAACGAUGUCGACUUGGAGGUUGUGCCCUUGAGGCGUGGCUUCCGGAGCUAACGCGUUAAGUCGACCGCCUGGGGAGUACGGCCGCAAGGUUAAAACUCAAAUGAAUUGACGGGGGCCCGCACAAGCGGUGGAGCAUGUGGUUUAAUUCGAUGCAACGCGAAGAACCUUACCUGGUCUUGACAUCCACAGAACUUUCCAGAGAUGGAUUGGUGCCUUCGGGAACUGUGAGACAGGUGCUGCAUGGCUGUCGUCAGCUCGUGUUGUGAAAUGUUGGGUUAAGUCCCGCAACGAGCGCAACCCUUAUCCUUUGUUGCCAGCGGUCCGGCCGGGAACUCAAAGGAGACUGCCAGUGAUAAACUGGAGGAAGGUGGGGAUGACGUCAAGUCAUCAUGGCCCUUACGACCAGGGCUACACACGUGCUACAAUGGCGCAUACAAAGAGAAGCGACCUCGCGAGAGCAAGCGGACCUCAUAAAGUGCGUCGUAGUCCGGAUUGGAGUCUGCAACUCGACUCCAUGAAGUCGGAAUCGCUAGUAAUCGUGGAUCAGAAUGCCACGGUGAAUACGUUCCCGGGCCUUGUACACACCGCCCGUCACACCAUGGGAGUGGGUUGCAAAAGAAGUAGGUAGCUUAACCUUCGGGAGGGCGCUUACCACUUUGUGAUUCAUGACUGGGGUGAAGUCGUAACAAGGUAACCGUAGGGGAACCUGCGGUUGGAUCACCUCCUUACCUUAAAGAAGC